rnacentral:lncRNA from 1 species
GCGGGACGGGGAGCCUGGGAGGGCGGGAGGGCUCCGGGUCCAGCCGGGCCCGGAGCAGGGCCGGGCUGCCCCUGAUCACUGGUGGAAGGGGCCGAAGAGCGGAGCGGCGGCAGAGCUGGAGCCGGUACUGGGGCAGGAGGAAAGGAGAGCCGAUCCGAUCCAAGCCGGCCGGAUUCAAGCCGGGAGGGACAGCGCAAAGCAGGGCGGGGCUGGUCAGGGCUGGUCAAGGCUGGCGGCCCAGGGCUGGGGGAGGCUCUGGUGCUAUGGGCGCAGGAGAGGAGACCUAGAGCAGGAGGCUCAGCGCGCGGCCCGGGCCAGCCGGGUAUGGGCACCGAGCGCUGCCCUUGGCCUGGCCCUAACCCCAGCUCCAGCCGGGGCGCCUUUGUAACUCCCCUGCCGCCGCACCACAAAGAGCCCGCCAACCCGAGAGCUGGGACCUCCACCCGAGACCCGGGAGAAGGUGGUGAGCUGAGCAUAGUCACAGGCAGAUGGCUUCCUCAGAUCCAUCUCCUCAGCCUGCAGUAGGAGACCAGCCAGCUCAGGACGUCCCAGGGACUUCUCCUGAGUCUGAGGAGGACCACGGAGAGGAUUUUGAGUUUGACGACAGUGAUGAAGAGGAAGAGGACUCCAGGACGGGCCCAGAGAAGGAUGGAGAACCCCCACUUAUCCACUUUGAUGCUGCCCCCAUCACUGAUCCUGCAGCUGCCCAGCCCCCGACAGAGAUUAUCAUAAGGAAAGAGCUUUAUUUGCCCAAAGGAACAGAAGAGGCAACAGGAUGCAGGAGGAAGAGUGAAGAACUUGGAGUCUUGGGGCCUGCACCUGAAGUUGACUAGAGGCAGAGAGUUAGAGCGGAAAGGAGAAGGCUGGCUUUGGAGUGAGAAGCCUGCGUGUUGGCCCUGCCUGGGCCGUUCACACCUUGGGUGACUAUGGGCACAUCACUCGAUAUACCAAUAACAUCCACUCCUCUUGGCCUUGGUUUCUUCAUCUGUCAAAUGAAAGGAUCACACCAGAUGCUCUCUAACAGUCCCUUCUGGCCCUAGGUCUGUGGUCUUUGGAUCUGCACUUAGCCCAGAGCCCGGCACUUACAUGUUUACUGAAGCAUAGCCCACCCUCCAUUUUUGGAUGGACAACCUCAGAUGUCAUUUUGCAUGAUUAGGCUAUUUUUGGGACCCUCUCUAACCUGCUGCCUCAUCAGCUGCCUAGAAGAGUUGCUUUGACUGUCGGAUGGAUCCUUGACUACUGAGGAGUCUUGGAUCAAAUGGAUUGGUAUUUUCUAGUCAUGCAAAUAAAUUGAUCACGCUCAGGGGAAAAUGUUUAUUG